rnacentral:rRNA from 1 species
GCAGUCGAGCGGUAGAGAGAAGCUUGCUUCUCUUGAGAGCGGCGGACGGGUGAGUAAUGCCUAGGAAUCUGCCUGGUAGUGGGGGAUAACGUUCGGAAACGGACGCUAAUACCGCAUACGUCCUACGGGAGAAAGCAGGGGACCUUCGGGCCUUGCGCUAUCAGAUGAGCCUAGGUCGGAUUAGCUAGUUGGUGGGGUAAUGGCUCACCAAGGCGACGAUCCGUAACUGGUCUGAGAGGAUGAUCAGUCACACUGGAACUGAGACACGGUCCAGACUCCUACGGGAGGCAGCAGUGGGGAAUAUUGGACAAUGGGCGAAAGCCUGAUCCAGCCAUGCCGCGUGUGUGAAGAAGGUCUUCGGAUUGUAAAGCACUUUAAGUUGGGAGGAAGGGCAGUAAAUUAAUACUUUGCUGUUUUGACGUUACCGACAGAAUAAGCACCGGCUAACUCUGUGCCAGCAGCCGCGGUAAUACAGAGGGUGCAAGCGUUAAUCGGAAUUACUGGGCGUAAAGCGCGCGUAGGUGGUUAGUUAAGUUGGAUGUGAAAUCCCCGGGCUCAACCUGGGAACUGCAUUCAAAACUGACUGACUAGAGUAUGGUAGAGG